rnacentral:rRNA from 1 species
UCGGGAAUUUUGGGCAAUGGGCGAAAGCCUGACCCAGCAACGCCGCGUGAAGGAUGAAGUCUUUCGGGAUGUAAACUUCGAAAGAAUGGGAAGAAUCAAUGACGGUACCAUUUAUAAGGUCCGGCUAACUACGUGCCAGCAGCCGCGGUAAUACGUAGGGACCAAGCGUUGUUCGGAUUUACUGGGCGUAAAGGGCGCGUAGGCGGCAAUUCAAGUCAGUUGUGAAAUCUCCGAGCUUAACUCGGAACGGUCAACUGAUACUGCUUUGCUAGAGUACAGAAGGGGCAAUCGGAAUUCUUGGUGUAGCGGUGAAAUGCGUAGAUAUCAAGAGGAACACCUGAGGUGAAGACGGGUUGCUGGGCUGAUACUGACGCUGAGGCGCGAAAGCUAGGGUAGCAAACGGGAUUAGGUACCCCGGUAGUCCUAGCCCUAAACGAUGAAUACUUGGUGUCUGGAGUUUUUAUUCUCUGGGUGCCGUCGCUAACGUUUUAAGUAUUCCGCCUGGGGAGUACGCACGCAAGUGUGAAACUCAAAGGAAUUGACGG